GCUGGCGGCGUGCGUAAGGCAUGCAAGUCGAGCGCUCCUUCGCCUUCGGGCGAGGUGGGAGCGGCGGACGGGUGAGUAACACGUGGGUGAUCUACCCACCGGACCGGGACACCCUCUCGAAAGGGAGGUCGAUACCGGGUACGCCCAGGGGUUCACGGACCUUUGGGGAAAGGGGAGACCCGCCGGUGGAUGAGCCUGCGGCCCAUUAGCUAGUUGGCGGGGUAAAGGCCCACCAAGGCGACGAUGGGUAGCCGGCCUGAGAGGGCAAACGGCCACACUGGGACUGAGACACGGCCCAGACUCCUACGGGAGGCAGCAGCCGGGAAUCUUCCACAAUGGGCGAAAGCCUGAUGGAGCAACGCCGCGUGUGCGAGGAAGGCCUUCGGGUUGUAAAGCACUGUCCCUGGGGACGAAGCAAGUGACAGUACCCAGGGAGGAAGCCCCGGCUAACUACGUGCCAGCAGCCGCGGUAAUACGUAGGGGGCGAGCGUUGUCCGGAAUUACUGGGCGUAAA
rnacentral:rRNA from 2 species